rnacentral:lncRNA from 1 species
UCACGUGAAAUGAAUCUUUUAAAAUUAUUACUAUUUUUAUUUAUAAAAAACUCAAUUCUCUAGAUAAAUAAAUGUACUCCAUAUGCACUCUAUAUUCCCAUUACCUAAUGCUGCAUACGAUCCGAACUUUAUCAAACUUGAACGCAAUAAAUCAAACUAGAAUAUAUUUGAGUAAUACGAUGGAAAUAACAUAUGUGCGUGUUCGCGAACAUAAUUAUACAUAUAAACUUCGCGAACAUAGUCCAACAUCAUGAACGUACUAAAGUAAAAAUUAGGCCAAAUAUUAUAAAUACUCGAAUAUCUCAUGAACUACUCAUGAAUCACUUAAAUCGAACUCGAACCGAACUAUUUGUGAACAGAGAUAAAUAACGUUUUGAUCACUGUAUUGGAGUCCGAUUUUCAUUGCGAUUAUCGAAACCUUUUUUGUUACAAUCGCGUAACUAUACUCUAAAAAACUUACCAAAUAGUAAUUCCUUACGAUUUCCGUCCAAAAAACGGACGGAAGUGCUGACUGUGCAUACACGUAAUUUUGAAAUGCUGAUGUGUACGUAUAUGCGUUGUCAUGUGUAUUAAUAAUAAUAAUAAAAUUUAAAUAAUAAUAAUAAAAAUAAUAAUAAUUUCAAAAUAAUAAUAAUUUUUAAAUAAUAAUAUAAAUUCAUUAAUUUUAUAUAAAUAUAUUUGUAAAAAUUAUUAUUAUUUUGUAAUUAUUAUUAUUAUUAUUUAAAAAUUAUUAUUAUUAAAUAAUAAUAUAAAUUCAUUAAUUUUAUAUAAAUACAUUUGUAAAAAUUAUUAUUACUAUUAUUAUUUAAAAAUUAUUAUUAUUAUUAUUAUCAACCCCUCAGCUCUGGCGAAGCCACCACCGGACCAUGGUUCCGGUUAAAACUCCAGCGCCACAUGAAACCUCAAAUAACAACACCAUCACCCAAAUCUGAUCAUACAACAUAGAUAAGCAAGAACUACACCAUGAGACCAGAUCGGAAAUACAAACAUCAAUACAAACCCACCGAAUCUGAACAUAAGCAAAGAUAAUCAAUAAAACAAAAUGCUAGAUCUGGAACGAAACCCACCGAAUCUGAACAUAAGCAAAGACUAACCAUCCAGAUCUGGAACGAAAGCCAGAUCCAAACCCACCAUCAAAACAUCUGAGAUCUCUCUCUCCCUCCUCCCUGAAUGACGCCCCUACCCUCUGACUUCACCCUCUGUUCUCUAAAGACGCCGCCGAACCUCUGUUCUCUCCCUCCUCCCUGAAUGACGCUCGUGAAAUCGGAGAGAAAAGGAGAGAGAAGAUAUCAGAGAGAAAAGGACGUCUGAGAGAGAAGAAGUGAAAUCAAUCUUUCAUUCUUAGUCUGAAGACAGGAACCAAGAUCAGUUGUAACAUAUUUUUGGGUUUUAUGGUGGAGAUAAUUUUAGUGAAUUGGGAGACAGAAAUUAAAGAGAAUAAUCUGUGCUCAAAAAGAAAGAAAAAGAAAUCCCAUUUACAGGAAUUGUUAGA